rnacentral:lncRNA from 1 species
ACCAAAUGGUGUCACUGCAGAGGUGAAGGCGGUGAAGGCUCCUGCAGAGAAACCCGUCCUCGCCAAUGGAGUCACCAACGGAGUAACCACCACUCCCGCUGUUUCCUAUGCAGCUAAGGUGGCCCAAACAGCAACAGGGAAACCCAUCCUCGCCAAUGGAGUCGCCAAGACCGGUUAGCUCGACCGCCACCAAUGCUUCCAUAGCUAGCCGCAAGCGAGGUUGGAUGUCCUGACAACUCGACUGAGGCGCAAGGGAAAAUGGUGUGACCAACCAAGGCAGGCUGUGGAACUGGCAGCAUGGCCCGAAGAGCGUUGCUGCUCCAUCUCAUCGCU